AUUGAACGCUGGCGGCAGGCCUAACACAUGCAAGUCGAGCGGAUGAAGGGAGCUUGCUCCUGGAUUCAGCGGCGGACGGGUGAGUAAUGCCUAGGAAUCUGCCUGGUAGUGGGGGAUAACGUCCGGAAACGGGCGCUAAUACCGCAUACGUCCUGAGGGAGAAAGUGGGGGAUCUUCGGACCUCACGCUAUCAGAUGAGCCUAGGUCGGAUUAGCUAGUUGGUGGGGUAAAGGCCUACCAAGGCGACGAUCCGUAACUGGUCUGGGAGGAUGAUCAGUCACACUGGAACUGAGACACGGUCCAGACUCCUACGGGAGGCAGCAGUGGGGAAUAUUGGACAAUGGGCGGAAGCCUGAUCCAGCCAUGCCGCGUGUGUGAAGAAGGUCUUCGGAUUGUAAAGCACUUUAAGUUGGGAGGAAGGGCAGUAAGUUAAUACCUUGCUGUUUUGACGUUACCAACAGAAUAAGCACCGGCUAACUUCGUG
rnacentral:rRNA from 1 species